rnacentral:rRNA from 1 species
UAAGGGCGCACGGUGGAUGCCUUGGCACUAGAAGCCGAUGAAGGACGUUACUAACGACGAUAUGCUUUGGGGAGCUGUAAGUAAGCUUUGAUCCAGAGAUUUCCGAAUGGGGAAACCCAGCAUGAGUUAUGUCAUGUUAUCGAUAUGUGAAUACAUAGCAUAUCAGAAGGCACACCCGGAGAACUGAAACAUCUUAGUACCCGGAGGAAGAGAAAGAAAAUUCGAUUCCCUUAGUAGCGGCGAGCGAAACGGGAAGAGCCCAAACCAACAAGCUUGCUUGUUGGGGUUGUAGGACACUCUAUACGGAGUUACAAAGGACGACAUUAGACGAAUCAUCUGGAAAGAUGAAUCAAAGAAGGUAAUAAUCCUGUAGUCGAAAAUGUUGUCUCUCUUGAGUGGAUCCUGAGUACGACGGAGCACGUGAAAUUCCGUCGGAAUCUGGGAGGACCAUCUCCUAAGGCUAAAUACUCUCUAGUGACCGAUAGUGAACCAGUACCGUGAGGGAAAGGUGAAAAGCACCCCGGAAGGGGAGUGAAAUAGAACCUGAAACCGUGUGCUUACAAGUAGUCAGAGCCCGUUAAUGGGUGAUGGCGUGCCUUUUGUAGAAUGAACCGGCGAGUUACGAUUUGAUGCAAGGUUAAGCAGUAAAUGUGGAGCCGUAGCGAAAGCGAGUCUGAAUAGGGCGUUUAGUAUUUGGUCGUAGACCCGAAACCAGGUGAUCUACCCUUGGUCAGGUUGAAGUUCAGGUAACACUGAAUGGAGGACCGAACCGACUUACGUUGAAAAGUGAGCGGAUGAACUGAGGGUAGCGGAGAAAUUCCAAUCGAACCUGGAGAUAGCUGGUUCUCUCCGAAAUAGCUUUAGGGCUAGCCUCAAGUGAUGAUUAUUGGAGGUAGAGCACUGUUUGGACGAGGGGCCCCUCUCGGGUUACCGAAUUCAGACAAACUCCGAAUGCCAAUUAAUUUAACUUGGGAGUCAGAACAUGGGUGAUAAGGUCCGUGUUCGAAAGGGAAACAGCCCAGACCACCAGCUAAGGUCCCAAAAUAUAUGUUAAGUGGAAAAGGAUGUGGCGUUGCCCAGACAACUAGGAUGUUGGCUUAGAAGCAGCCAUCAUUUAAAGAGUGCGUAAUAGCUCACUAGUCGAGUGACACUGCGCCGAAAAUGUACCGGGGCUAAACAUAUUACCGAAGCUGUGGAUUGUCCUUUGGACAAUGGUAGGAGAGCGUUCUAAGGGCGUUGAAGCAUGAUCGUAAGGACAUGUGGAGCGCUUAGAAGUGAGAAUGCCGGUGUGAGUAGCGAAAGACGGGUGAGAAUCCCGUCCACCGAUUGACUAAGGUUUCCAGAGGAAGGCUCGUCCGCUCUGGGUUAGUCGGGUCCUAAGCUGAGGCCGACAGGCGUAGGCGAUGGAUAACAGGUUGAUAUUCCUGUACCACCUAUAAUCGUUUUAAUCGAUGGGGGGACGCAGUAGGAUAGGCGAAGCGUGCGAUUGGAUUGCACGUCUAAGCAGUAAGGCUGAGUAUUAGGCAAAUCCGGUACUCGUUAAGGCUGAGCUGUGAUGGGGAGAAGACAUUGUGUCUUCGAGUCGUUGAUUUCACACUGCCGAGAAAAGCCUCUAGAUAGAAAAUAGGUGCCCGUACCGCAAACCGACACAGGUAGUCAAGAUGAGAAUUCUAAGGUGAGCGAGCGAACUCUC